rnacentral:misc_RNA from 1 species
CAGGGAUAAACUUGGCGAAACGUAACAAAACUGUCAACGCGAUACAAAUAGGGCCUAAACAAAAAUUUUCUAUGGGACGAGACAAAUACGAAACGAACGAAUACGUAACGAAACGAAUUUUUGGACAAGAUCACAUCUUUCACAUAGUACCGGACAACUUUCCAAUCAUCGAAGACGGAAUCAUUGGGCUACCAUGUUUAGAGAAAAACCAAUACAUUUAACUCCUGGAGAAAACAGAGUUCAAACAAUCUAUCUGGAAG